ACUCCUACGGGAGGCAGCAGUGGGGAAUAUUGCACAAUGGGCGCAAGCCUGAUGCAGCCAUGCCGCGUGUGUGAAGAAGGCCUUCGGGUUGUAAAGCACUUUCAGUCGUGAGGAAGGUUUAUGCGUUAAUAGCGUAUAGAUUUGACGUUAGCGACAGAAGAAGCACCGGCUAACUCCGUGCCAGCAGCCGCGGUAAUAC
rnacentral:rRNA from 1 species